ACUCCGGUUGAUCCUGCCGGACCCGACUGCUAUCGAAGUGGGACUAAGCCAUGUUAGUCGAACGCCUUUCAACUAUGUGAUUGGCGUGGCGUACGGCUCAGUAACACGUUGUUAACCUACCCUGAAGACGUGGAUAACCCCGGGAAACUGNNNNNNNNNNUCCGAUCAGGUUGUUGGUGGAGUAAUAGCCCACCAAGCCUGUAACCGGUAUGGGCUUUGAGAGAAGGAGCCCGGAGAUGGACACUGAGAAAAGAGUCCAGGUCCUACGGGGCGCAGCAGGCGCGAAACCUUCGCAAUGCACGAAAGUGCGACGAGGCUACUUCGAGUGCUAUCCGCUGAGGAUAGCUUUUGUCAGGUGUAAAAAGCCUGAAGAAUAAGGGGAGGGCAAGUCUGGUGUCAGCCGCCGCGGUAAUACCAGCUCCCCGAGUGGUCGGGAUGAUUAUUGGGCCUAAAGCAUCCGUAGCCUGCUCCGCAGGUCUUCUGUUAAAUUCAACGGCUUAACCGUUGAGCUGCAGGAGAUACCACGGGGCUAGGAGGCGGAAGAGGUAGACGGUACUCCAU
rnacentral:rRNA from 1 species